GUGGUUAAUUCGAAGCAACGCGAAGAACCUUACCAGGUCUUGACAUCCCGAUUGCUAUUUCUUAGAGAUAGAAAGUUACUUCGGUACAUCGGUGACAGGUGGUGCAUGGUUGUCGUCAGCUCGUGUCGUGAGAUGUUGGGUUAAGUCCCGCAACGAGCGCAACCCCUAUUGCUAGUUGCCAUCAUUCAGUUGGGCACUCUAGCGAGACUGCCGGCUAAAAGUCGGAGGAAGUGGGGAUGACGUCAAAUCAUCAUGCCCCUUAUGACCUGGGCUACACACGUGCUACAAUGGGCGGUACAAAGGGUCGCGAACCCGCGAGGGGGAGCCAAUCCCAAAAAAGCCGCUCUCAGUUCGGAUUGCAGGCUGCAACUCGCCUGCAUGAAGCCGGAAUCGCUAGUAAUCGCGGAUCAGCAUGCCGCGGUGAAUACGUUCCCAGGCCUU
rnacentral:rRNA from 1 species